rnacentral:rRNA from 1 species
CCUACGGGAGGCAGCAGUAGGGAAUCUUCCACAAUGGGCGAAAGCCUGAUGGAGCAACGCCGCGUGGGUGAAGAAGGUCUUCGGAUCGUAAAACCCUGUUGUUAGAGAAGAAAGUGCGUGAGAGUAACUGUUCACGUUUCGACGGUAUCUAACCAGAAAGCCACGGCUAACUACGUGCCAGCAGCCGCGGUAAUACGUAGGUGGCAAGCGUUAUCCGGAUUUAUUGGGCGUAAAGGGAACGCAGGCGGUCUUUUAAGUCUGAUGUGAAAGCCUUCGGCUUAACCGGAGUAGUGCAUUGGAGACUGGGGGGCUUGAGUGCAGAAGAGGAGAGUGGAACUCCAUGUGUAGCGGUGAAAUGCGUAGAUAUAUGGAAGAACACCAGUGGCGAAAGCGGCUCUCUGGUCUGUAACUGACGCUGAGGUUCGAAAGCGUGGGUAGCAAACAGGAUUAGAUACCCCUGUAGUC